rnacentral:lncRNA from 1 species
CUUGGCUACCAUUUCAGGAAUAGUAUUAAAUUUAGGAUUAAGGUAGGAUUAAAAUAUUUUUAUGUUUGGUUGGGAGCUAGGAUUAGUUCAGAAUAGUGAAAAAUAGUAUUUGGUUGAAAUAUGUAGGAUAAGAAUGAUAGUGGUUGGUAAAGUGAUAAAAAGACGAAAAUACCCUCACAUUAAUAUAUUGAAAUAAAAGUUCUUUUUUUGGUUUUUAAAAUUCUAUGCUUGCAAAUAAUUAUGAGGAUUAAAACUAAAUACAUUUUUGCGUAAUUUUGUACCAAAAAAUAUUUUUCACUCUUCUUUUGUAACUUUGAAAUUUUCUAAAAUUUUCAAACAACUAUAUUAAAAUUAUCUUAAUUUUAAAUUUCACUCAUAUUUGUAUUUUUCGAACUAUUUUAAUAUUUUACUUAUAAUUGCAUUUUAAUCCUCUAAAAAUACUAAUUUCCAACCUUUCAAAUUUAGCCCCUAGUGGAGUUGAGUACCGUUAGGUGUUUUCAAAUCCGAUUUGUGCCGAUAACAUUUCUACUUCCAAUAAGUACCUGUAACGAUCACAACACGUACGCUCAACUUUUGCACUUCACUUAUGACGGUCAUACGAGACGUUGCGAAAUUCGAUAAAAAUUAGCAUCGUCAUUCGGAUAUCAUUAAUAAUAUACAAAUAUUUAAGUACACAAGUCAAUCUACACAUCAACGAACAUUUACAAAGAUAACAACACAUUCAAUAAAAAAUAAAUACAUAUACAACCAAAAUAGUUUGAAAGAGUACAAAUAUAUAACAGAGUUAAAAAAAUAAUUACAUCUACCAACAUGAUCUCGCGCACAGACCUCGCGCAGACCUCGCGCAGAGGACGCAACCAACAAUGAAAAU